UUAAGUUUACAAUUCCUGACAUAAUUGAAAUGGCACACACAGGUGCUAUAACAUAAGUUCAGACAUAAGAACAAAGUCUUAUACAGUACAUGCCAUGAUCAUAAUACAUGAUAGAAGUACAAAAAGGCAUCUAAACAUAAUUCAUCCAGCUGCAGCAGCUACUCCAUAGCCUGAUUACCAUGUGAUUUCUGCUUAUCUGAAAAAAAAUUAAUAAGCGUGGGAUGAGACUACUAAGCCUCAGUGAGUUCUUCUACCCAACUAACGGUGACUACACCGGGGUACCUGAAUGUCAGUCCAUAGCAUAAUUCAUAACAUAGCAUAAAAUCAUAAAUGUGUAUCACAAAUUAUCAUCUUGUUCAUUUUAACAUAACUAAGACACUCUGAGGUGAGCCAUUCUCAGAGGCCUGACAUAUCCGUCGUCGAUGAUUAUACGCAUCGGCACGGCAUGAAGCUCACAAUCGUAACAUGAUUGGAUUCAUCGAAUCCCAUAACGUGGUACAAAAGUAUCCACCAUGAUUAACUGACUAACUAAACUGUCCUGAGCUUUUUUAUCCUGCCCAUGAUUCUCUUCCGGGGCCUAACUAACAUAUUCUAAUUUCUUGAUUAUCAUAUGCUUAACGUGUAAUUAACAUUGUAAUUAUGUAUUUUACUUGCAGUAUUCACAUAAAACAGCUAGAAGGCUUAGGGAUUCAAAAAGAGUGAGAUUGUGGUGUUUAAAAAAUUCUGCAGGGUACUAACCUGCUACAUUGUUUUCACAUUUUUCACAAAUUUUGCAGCAACUCUCACCAUAAUCCUUUUCCUUACUAGCCAUGAAUAUUACAGCAUAUAAUACAUGUUUAAAAUGGAGAGAAGCUUUGGGAUUAAGCUCCUCUCAUACACCAUUUGAUCCUAAACUUAUGUUGGCAUACAAAGUUCAUAAUUUGGGGCAAUUAACUAACUAAACUUAAGAACCCACCUGAUAUAGGAGCUUGAUUUUUAGCUUCUGAGUUGUCUACUGAUAUGAACAGCUAGCUUCAACUUCCUCUUGAGCUUUGGCCUUUAGUUCCAAUUCCUAUAAUUACCAAAAACUCACUUAUGAGUAAAACACUUGUAUGCAACACAAAAGACAGAUUUGUGUCUUUUAGAGAUGAUGGAUUAGAGCACGAAUUAGAGGGAAUGAAGAGGGUUUUGAGCAAUAAAACUUACCAUUUUUGAUGUUCAGAACCUAAGGAACUUGAUUCACUACUUGCAUGUGAGUUUUAUGAGGAAGUUUAGAGAGAUUGAGAUGGUUGGGUGUUGUUGUUUUGUUAAACGAGAGAGAUGAGAUGAGAGAAGGGAGUAUUCUGNNNNNNNNNNNNNNNNNNNNNNNNNNNNNNNNNNNNNNNNNNNNNNNNNGAAGAUGACCAUUCAGAAGUUCGUAAAGCUCAGAGGAUAUCAACGUCAGAAGUUGUUAGUCUCAGAGGUUGGAAACCUCAGCAGUUGAUAAGUCAGAAGAUAAUAAAUCUCUUGACUGGUCUUGAUCCUUGUGAAGACUUGGUCAUAAAGUUUGAAUCAUUGCAUCAACACUUUUACCAACGAAGAAAGCGACCUCUCAAGUGGCUCAAAAUAGCUUUCUUACAUUAUCCCUAGUCUUAAGGAAGGAACGUGACUUGUUUGGUUUCUUAGCUUAAAAUGGAAAGUCUUCUCUACAUCAAGUCAAAGUAGCUGAAACUCUUGUUCAAUUUUGGAUGUCAUUCAAACUCAUGUCAAGACAAGUGCAAGCUGACAAUCCUAUCCUCAUCAACGGUCAUGUGCAACGUCUAUUUCUCAUUGGCAUAUAAAUACUAGACGAAGUGGAUUGCUGCAAAUAUACGAUACUACACGCACAUGCUAUUCAUUGCAAAUCUAUCAAUACAAACACUCAUCCUCUGAACCUUGAAUUUCAUUCUUAUUCAAAAUACUGUGAAGUCAAUUUGAACUCAUUGUAUUUUAAUCUUAAGGUUCUCUUAGUGUAUUGUAUUAUCUCAACAAACUUUAUUUACAUUCUUAAGUUUGAGAAGUAUCUUGCUGUGAAAUCCCUUGGAAGUGCAAGGGGACUGGACUACUCUCGUUUUGUGAGAGGAACUAGUAUAAAUAUGAUGU
rnacentral:lncRNA from 1 species